AGGGGUGUUGCUCAGCGGUAGAGCACAUGCUUGGUGCACACGGGGUCCUGGGUUCAACCCCCAGUGCCUCCG
rnacentral:tRNA from 1 species